rnacentral:rRNA from 1 species
UACAGAGGUCUCAAGCGUUGUUCGGAUUCAUUGGGCGUAAAGGGUGCGUAGGCGGCGCGGUAAGUCGGGUGUGAAAUCUUGGAGCUUAACUCCGAAACUGCAUUCGAUACUGCCGUGCUUUGAGGACUGGAGAGGAGACUGGAAUUUACGGUGUAGCGGUGAAAUGCGUAGAUAUCGUAAGGAAGACCAGUGGCGAAGGCGGGUCUCUGGACAGUUCCUGACGCUGAGGCACGAGGGCCAGGGGAGCAAACGGG